rnacentral:piRNA from 1 species
UAAAUUGUAAAAUUAUUUUUAAAGUGUGU